CUGUGGAUGUGGCUCAGUGGUGAAUGCUGGCCUUGCUUGCCGAAAGGACCUGAGUUUAAUUGCUGAUGCCCUCAAAUAAGCAGAAGUCAUUCCCGCUCUCCUUCCAGCUGAGGAUCAGCAGGUUGCCAGGGAUCCCUGAGGCCACAAGAGAAACAAGGGCACAUCUUCCAAGAGAUCCACUGAAAGUUGCAAAUUGAACUGAUGGUGGUAGGAGGCUUCUAAAGAAGUUCAGGGAGAUUAUCAGAGUCGUGUGACCCUUGGCAAGUUACUUAGCCUCUCCGAGCCUAGCUGACCUCAUUUGCAGACACUAAAGGUAACAUUGUAAGACUUUUGAGAUUUAAUCGGGGUAUUACAUGUUAAGUGCUCAGAAUGAUGCUCAAUACAUGUUAGUACUAUAUAGAGGUAUUAUUAUUAUUAUUAAUGUUAUUAUCUUUAUUAUUCAAGGUCCAGUUUCCAGGUAACAACUUCUGCCUCUAUCACAUCUGCUUACACUUAGCACCUUAUUUUACUUGCCUUCUCUUCCCCAUUAGGUAAUGUUCUGGAUAGAGGGGACCCUGUAUUAUAUAUCUUUAUGUCCCUUGUGUUCGACACAUACUAGAUAAUCAAUGGAUGUUGAAUAGAUGCAAAUAAAUGAGAUAAUUAUAAUAAUUACCAUUAUUAUAAUAACAUCUAUCCUCAUUUCUAGGUAUUAUCCCUU